AUUCAAUUGUAAUUUGUAACUACUUUUGAGCAUUCUUUCCACUCUUUCACUCUCGUCCUCUCUUCACAUUCUUUUUUUCUUGCUCAAAGUCUAACUUUGAAAUUCAGAGCUCUUACAUGGUAUUAGAAAGCCAUGUUGAAUCAUGGAGACAACGGUAGUAGUCUUAGAAUUUGACUUGAUCCACCAUUUGGAGAAAUAGUCAAACAACUGCAAGCUCGAGCUGCAAAUCCAAUUCCCGCUCUUGAAGCUCAAACUCCACUCCCCAACUAUCUUCUCCUCCCCCUGAAUCUCAAAUUGGAUUGCACAACUACACUGUUUGGCGAUCACUUAUUCUUGCUGCAGUGUGUGCUUAUGAUAUUGAUGGCUAUAUCUGUGGAACCCUUCCUUAGCCUCUAACAUCUCUUGCAGCUUUUUGCUACCAGAUCCCAUGCAAGGCUUCUGUAACUUUGAAAUCUCCUUCAAACCAUCAUGAAAGAUUCUUUCUCAAUCGAGGAAUAUAUGCUCAAAAUGAAGCAAUAUGUUGAUCACCUUGUAGCUGCUGGCCAACCAAUCAACGAUGAUGAUCUAGUGCUCUACAUUCUUGUGGGUUGAGUAUGAGGCUGUGAUUGCCAACCUCACAUCAAGAACCAAACAUCUCACACUUCAACGAGUCCAAUUCAUGUUGCAGAGUCAAGAGAUGUACAUUCAACAACACACUGCAAAUUCUCUCCAAAAUGUGCAAGCUAAUUUGGCCAAUGCAAAUCUCAAUAGCACAAGAGGUUCAUACUCCAAUUGAGAUUACAGAGGUGAUAACAGAGGAGGUAGAUCAAACAACACAAAUAGAGGUGGUCAGGGCACUAGACCAAUGUGCCAACUAUGUGACAGAGUUGGCCACACAAAUUAAUAGUGAAACGUUAGCACAAAUGUGACAUAAUCUUCACUGGGGCCACACCUAGAUCAACCUCAUCCUCUCUUGGUGUUGAUAAUUCUCAAGCUUUAGUAUUUGAGACUAACUCUACUUCUAAUCUCUCAGCAGCUUGGUACUUAGAUAGCGGAGCAACUCAUCACAUGACAAAUAUGAUGCUAAAAAUCUCACCACUACAGCAAACUACAAGGGCAAAGCCAAGAUUGCUGAUAAGAAAACCAAGAAAGUUCCUCUACAAGGCCACCUCGGUGAAGGUCACUGUAAACUCCAAGUCUCCCCUUCCAGUCCUCAAGAUUCUUUGAAGAAUUCUGAUGUGUUUCUAAGUCCACAUAAUGCUCUAGCCACAUUUAAUAUGUGUUAGUGCUUUUGUUCUAUUAUUGAAUUGUGUUGUAGUCUUUUCACACAUGAAUAAUAGCGAGUAAUGCCAUAAGAAAAAUUAAGAUUUAGAUCUUUAGUAUUGUCGGACAACUUUAAUUAUGGUAGAAAAUUGAGUACAAAUCAUGUUAUAAAAAAUUGGUAUAAUUGUUUGUGCUUUAACUUUAGUUUUUAUAGCAUAUAGGUUCAAGUAAACUUUUUCAUCAAUGUUUGUAUCCUUCAAUACGUAUUAUGUGGAAAGGCAAUCCUAGAACAUUAAAUCUA